AGUUAAGCCACCAGCAGCACAUGCCACAGAGAACCACCAGACAGGAAGUAUACCAACUUCUCUACUUUCUCAUUUGGUCCAGACUGCUGUUUAAAGAGACCUUGCUCGUGGUGUUCCUGUGCAGAUGACUUUGACCCGACCUCGACUCCUCUCAACAAACACCGGAUGAGGCUGACACAUUCUCUGGAAGGGGAUUGAACAGCCAGCAGCACUACACUCCAAUCAUUGAUAAAGCUAAUCCCCCCACCAUUACCCCACCCCACCCCCACCCAGGCUGACUGGUCCGGCAUCGCUGUGCGAACAGGAGGAAAACAGACCCGAGAGUGCAAUCAAGCCACUGAUAAACGCCGCUGUGUCUUUCACAUGGGAACGCAUAAAAAAGUGAGAGCCCUUGAAUAGAUAAGGAUGCAGCACACCUGAUGCCAACAUCUAUAACGGAUGGUGCUGAGUGCUGGAACACGACAACAAGUCAACAGCCUAUAGCACACACUGGGCACUGUGCCUGUCAUGUCUGACAUGUCUGCUGGCUUUCUGUUUUACCCUGAACGUCUGCCAUCAAAUGCCUUCUGUACUCUGCUAACAAACAUGUAUGGGAAAUCAGCUUCUGCAUUUGCUUCCCGGUUAGCAGGGUUUAUUAUAGAUGUUUAUUUCAAUGGAACUACGACGAUGAUAUUUAUAUGUUAUGCUAUAGAUGAACAGAAAAGUUGACUGCUUACAAGUCUAAACGUCUAAGUCUAAGACAUGUGAAUCUAUUGUUCCACUGACAGUCCCCCCCCCCCCCCCCCCUUUCUCUCUGUUGAUGGCACAGCCCCUGCUGCAUCAACGAGAACAUGAAGUGCUUAAGGGUACAUUUCCAACCUCAGGAGCAGUUUAAGGAGGAUAAUCUCGGAACGUUUUGUCUGCAAGUGUAUUUUAGUUGAUGAGCCUCGUCUGUGACAGACCCUGAGGCACAGUUCAUUGUGACAUUAAAGACAGCUUCCUGUCCCUCUUGCUACCUAAUUCUAGAAAAGAAAAAUAAAGUUUAAAAAUUGAAGAUAUCAGUACUCAGCAAGAGAGACUAAUUUAUUGCAUGACCUUUAUUAAAUCAGAUGCAGCCUAGAUGGCAAAUCCUCUCAACUAGCACUUCCUGAUUGAUUGAUUAUUUGAUUUGAGGGGAAAUCACUUUCAGCCUGUCCAGUACAGAAGUGGGGUCAAUUACUUGACUCAAGAUUUAUCUGAUUGAAUAUGCAUUCUUUUCCUAAUGGGAGCAUAACACCUAGAAUUACAGAAUUACCUUAUGCAAAUCAUCAGUCUCAGCUCAGCUUUAUAUAAAAUGUUUCAGCAAUGUGUUUCAGCCUUAUUCCAAUAGGGCAUGAUGCAGACUACUGCACAUUUAUAGCCCUAUACAGUGCCAUCUAUUGUGCAUAAGAUGAACUGUACAUCUGCAGUACAUCUAUUUGAAUUCUGAGAAAUUCCUCGACUCUUUUCUCUUUUCACACAUUUUUC